AUUGAACGCUGGCGGCAGGCCUAACACAUGCAAGUCGAGCGAGCGGCGGACGGGUGAGUAAUGUAUGGGGACUGCCCGAUAGAGGGGGAUAACUACUGGAAACGGUAGCUAAUACCGCAUACUAUCGGAUAACCCAUAUGGGAUUAGCUAGUAGGGGAGGUAAUGGCUCACCUAGGCGACGAUCACUAGCUGGUCUGAGAGGAUGAUCAGCCAGACGGGGACUGAGAUAUGGCCCAGACCCCGAGGGAGUCAGCAGUGGGGAAUAUGGCACAAUGGGCGAAAGCCUGAUGCAGCCAUGCCGCGUGUAUGAAGAAGGCCCGAGUGUUGUAAAUUACUUUCAGUCGGGAGGCGUGACCGACAUAAGAAGCACCGGCUAACUCCGUGCCAGCAGCCGCGGUAAUAC
rnacentral:rRNA from 1 species